rnacentral:rRNA from 1 species
CCUCAUGCUCGUGGAGCGGCCGAUAUCUGAUUAGCUAGUUGGUAGGGUAAAAGCCUACCAAGGCAUCGAUCAGUAGCUGGUCUGAGAGGACGACCAGCCACACUGGAACUGAGACACGGUCCAGACUCCUACGGGAGGCAGCAGUGGGGAAUUUUGGACAAUGGGCGAAAGCCUGAUCCAGCAAAGGCGCGUGAGUGAAGAAGGCCUUCGGGUGUAAAUCUAUAGGUUAGGGAAGAAACGGUGAGGGCUAAUAUC